rnacentral:rRNA from 1 species
UGCGUAGGUGGCAGAUCAAGUCUGGAGUAAAAGGUAUGGGCUCAACCCGUACUUGCUCUGGAAACUGAUCAGCUAGAGAACAGAAGAGGACGGCGGAACUCCAUGUGUAGCGGUAAAAUGCGUAGGUAUAUGGAAGAACACCGGUGGCGAAGGCGGCCGUCUGGUCUGGAUUCUGACACUGAAGCACGAAAGCGUGGGAGCAAAUA